rfam:Triticum aestivum genome assembly, contig: Triticum_aestivum_CS42_TGACv1_scaffold_526389_6DL
UAAGUAUUCCUUCCGUCCGGAAAUACUUGUCAUCAAAAUGAUAAAAAUGGAUGUAUCUAGACGUAUUUUAGUUUUAGAUACAUCCAUUUUGAUGACAAGUAUUUUCGGACGGAGAGAGUACUUA